UGCCUAGCAACUCCUAUCCCUACCUCCGCGUGGUACCGGCUGGAAACUAUGAGUCACCUUAGGGAAGAUCGGAUAAUCAAUGCCGGUGGGAAUUUUGGUCGUAGACUGACAGAGAAGG
rnacentral:ribozyme from 1 species